UACGUAGGGCGCAAGCGUUGUCCGGAAUUAUUGGGCGUAAAGAGCUCGUAGGCGGCUUGUCACGUCGGAUGUGAAAGCCCGGGGCUUAACUCCGGGUCUGCAUUCGAUACGGGCUGGCUAGAGUGUGGUAGGGGAGAUCGGAAUUCCUGGUGUAGCGGUGAAAUGCGCAGAUAUCAGGAGGAACACCGGUGGCGAAGGCGGAUCUCUGGGCCAUGACUGACGCUGAGGAGCGAAGGCGUGGGGAGCGAACCGG
rnacentral:rRNA from 1 species